UACGAAGGGGGCUAGCGUUGCUCGGAAUACUGGGCGUAAAGCGCGUGUAGGCGCCCUGCAAGUCGGAUGUGAAAUCCCACGGCUCAACCGUGGAAGUGCAUUCGAAACUGCAGGGCUAGAUGCCUGGAGAGGAAGGUGGAAUGCUUGGUGUAGAGGUGAAAUUCGUAGAUAUCAAGCGGAACACCGGUGGCGAAGGCGGCCUUCUGGACAGUGACUGACGCUGAGACGCGAAAGCGUGGGAGCAAAGCAGG
rnacentral:rRNA from 1 species